UUAUAGUACGCCCCAUAUUUUUUCUUGGUUUUAAGAAAACCUGAGGUAAUAGAGCAAUAUUAUUACCUCAGUUUAAAAUAAUAACGGAUGGGAAAACAUUUUUAUUUUUUUAUUUUUAUUUUUCUAUAUAUAUUUUUGUUUUAACUUGUAUUACAUAACCUUUUUUUCCCAUUACCUUUUACCAAUUUCUCAAAUAUAAACAUUGUACCAAAAAUAUUCAUUGUUUACACCAAUUGCAAAGCUAAAAUGGUACACACCUUAUAAUUUUAUAACAAAACUAAAACAAA
rnacentral:lncRNA from 1 species